GACGAACGCUGGCGGCGUGCUUAACACAUGCAAGUCGAACGGAAAGGCCCUGCUUUUGUGGGGUGCUCGAGUGGCGAACGGGUGAGUAACACGUGAGUAACCUGCCCUUGACUUUGGGAUAACUUCAGGAAACUGGGGCUAAUACCGGAUAUGAGCUCCUGCUGCAUGGUGGGGGUUGGAAAGUUUCGGCGGUUGGGGAUGGACUCGCGGCUUAUCAGCUUGUUGGUGGGGUAGUGGCUUACCAAGGCUUUGACGGGUAGCCGGCCUGAGAGGGUGACCGGCCACAUUGGGACUGAGAUACGGCCCAGACUCCUACGGGAGGCAGCAGUGGGGAAUAUUGCACAAUGGGCGGAAGCCUGAUGCAGCAACGCCGCGUGCGGGAUGACGGCCUUCGGGUUGUAAACCGCUGUCGCCUGUGACGAAGCGUGAGUGACGGUAAUGGGUAAAGAAGCACCGGCUAACUACGUG
rnacentral:rRNA from 1 species